GAAGUUCACAAGAAUACCGAGGAGAGACCUGGCUGGUGUACUGAUCCGCAUCUGCCCCCGUGUGCAGCGUAUGAAACAUAAUUAAUCCCAUUUGUUAAAAUCUUUAAUCAUAUUUCUAAUCCUUGAAUCUUAUCCAAAUGUUCUUGCAUAUUUGAUGCUUAGGUUUGUCGAGAUCAUGGCUACAGUGUUCUCUCGUGAUGCAUGGCAAUGUGUUUGGCAUAUGAUUCAGAACGACUUGGUUCACGGAUGGGGCCUUGAUUUCUCUCUUCGGAAAUGUGUUGAGCCUCCUCAUGAGAAAAUCGGGAUUGUGGAUGCUCAGUGGAUUGUACAUAAAAGUGUUCCUUCGCUCGGAAACCAGGUAAACAUUAACCCAUUAAUUGUUGUCAUUACUGUGUUCAUCAUGCACCGUAUAUAAUUCACU